UAACUGCGAGUGAAGCGGGAAGAGCUCAAAUUUAAAAUCUGGCGGUCUUGCAUGGCCGCUCGAGUUGUAAUCUAGGAGAAGCGUCUUCCGCGCUGGACCGUGUACAAGUCUCUUGGAAUGGAGCGUCGUAGAGGGUGACAAUCCCGUCUUUGACACGGACUGCCAGGGCUUUUGUGAUGCGCUCUCGAAGAGUCGAGUUGUUUGGGAAUGCAGCUCAAAAUGGGUGGUAAAUUCCAUCUAAAGCUAAAUACGGGCGAGAGACCGAUAGCGAACAAGUACCGUGAGGGAAAGAUGAAAAGAACUUUGAAAAGAGAGUUAAACAGUACGUGAAAUUGUUGAAAGGGAAACGAUUCAAGUCAGUCGCGUCGACCGGCAAUCAACCCUUGCAUUGAUUUGCUGGGCUUACUUUCCGGGUUCGAUGGGUCAGCAUCAAUUUUGAUCAUCGGACAAUGGCUCGGGGAACGUGGCAUCCUUCGGGAUGUGUUACAGCCCUUUGUUCCGCAUGCGAUGGUUGGGAUUGAGGAA
rnacentral:rRNA from 1 species